rnacentral:rRNA from 1 species
CCUACGGGGCGCAGCAGUGGGGAAUAUUGGACAAUGGGCGAAAGCCUGAUCCAGCCAUGCCGCGUGUGUGAAGAAGGCCUUCGGGUUGUAAAGCACUUUCAGUGGGGAAGAAAGCCUUGGGGCUAAUACCCUCGAGGAAGGACAUCACCCACAGAAGAAGCACCGGCUAACUCCGUGCCAGCAGCCGCGGUAAUACGGAGGGUGCGAGCGUUAAUCGGAAUUACUGGGCGUAAAGCGCGCGUAGGCGGUCUGAUAAGCCGGUUGUGAAAGCCCCGGGCUCAACCUGGGAACGGCAUCCGGAACUGUCAGGCUAGAGAGCAGGAGAGGAAGGUAGAAUUCCCGGUGUAGCGGUGAAAUGCGUAGAGAUCGGGAGGAAUACCAGUGGCGAAGGCGGCCUUCUGGACUGACACUGACGCUGAGGUGCGAAAGCGUGGGUAGCAAACAGGAUUAGAUACCCGGGUAGUC